UUAAAACUGUUUUAGCCGGGGGUUUAACCUAACGGUUGCUUUGGUAGCUGAAGGUACCUGGAGAAUAAGCAUCGGCUUACUCCGUGCCAGCAGCCGCGGUAAUACGGAGGAUGCGAGCGUUAUCCGGAUUUACUGGGUUUAAAGGGUGCGCAGGCGGUUGUUUAAGUCAGGGGUGAAAGCCCUAUGCUCAACAUAGGGAUUGCCUUUGAUACUGAACGGCUAGAGUGAAGAUGGAGUGGGUGGAAUGUGUUGUGUAGCGGUGAAAUGCAUAGAUAUAACACAGAACACCGAUCGCGAAGGCAGCUCACUAAUUUUCAACUGACGCUCAUGCACGAAAGCGUGGGGAUCAAACAGGAUUAGAUACCCUGGUAGUCCACGCUGUAAACGAUGAUCACUAGCUGUUGGUACGCUGAAGUAUCAGUGGCUAAGCGAAAGUGAUAAGUGAUCCACCUGGGGAGUACGACCGCAAGGUUGAAACUCAAAGGAAUUGACGGGGGCCCGCACAAGCGGAGGAGCAUGUGGUUUAAUUCGAUGAUACGCGAGGAACCUUACCAGGGCUCGAACGCAGGGGGGAUAUACCUGAAAGGGUAUAGCCAGCGAUGGUCGCCUGCGAGGUGCUGCAUGGUUGUCGUCAGCUCGUGCCGUGAGGUGUCAGGUUAAGUCCUAUAACGAGCGCAACCCUUAUCCAUAGUUGCCAGCGGGUAAAGCCGGGGACUCUAUGGGAACUGCCUGCGCAAGCAGAGAGGAAGGAGGGGAUGACGUCAAAUCAGCACGGCCCUUAUGUCCUGGGCUACACACGUGCUACAAUGGUCGGUACAGAGGGCAGCGACCACGUGAGUGGGAGCCAAUCCUUAAAAGCCGAUCUCAGUUCGGAUUGGAGUCUGCAACCCGACUCCAUGAAGUUGGAUUCGCUAGUAAUCGCGCAUCAGCCAUGGCGCGGUGAAUACGUUCCCGGGCCUUGUACACACCGCCCGUCAAGCCAUGGGAGCUGGGGGUACCUGAAGUUCGUGACCCGCGAGGGAGCGACCUAGGGUAAACUCAGUGACUGGGGCUAAGUCGUAACAAGGUAGCCGUAGAAUC
rnacentral:rRNA from 1 species